AUUGAACGCUGGCGGUAUGCUUAACACAUGCAAGUCGAACGAUGAGAAAGAGCUUGCUCUUUCGAUUAGUGGCGGACGGGUGCGUAACGCGUAGGAAUCUACCUAUUAGUGGGGGACAACUUAGGGAAACUUAAGCUAAUACCGCAUACGCCCUACGGGGGAAAGAAGGGGAUCGCAAGACCUUUUGCUAAUAGAUGAGCCUGCGUAGGAUUAGCUAGUUGGUGAGGUAAAAGCUCACCAAGGCGACGAUCCUUAACUGGUUUGAGAGAAUGAUCAGUCACACUGGAACUGAGACACGGUCCAGACUCCUACGGGAGGCAGCAGUGGGGAAUAUUGGACAAUGGGCGAAAGCCUGAUCCAGCAAUACCGCGUGUGUGAAGAAGGCCUUAGGGUUGUAAAGCACUUUCAAUUGGAAGGAAAACCUCGAAGCUAAUACCUUCGAGUUUGACAUUACCUUUAGAAGAAGCACCAGCUAACUCCGUGCCAGCCGCCGCCGUAA
rnacentral:rRNA from 1 species